rnacentral:rRNA from 1 species
AUUGAACGCUGGCGGCAUGCUUUACACAUGCAAGUCGAACGGUAACAGGGUGCUUGCACCGCUGACGAGUGGCGAACGGGCGAGUAACGCGUCGGAACGUGCCGAGUAGUGGGGGAUAACGCAGCGAAAGUUAUGCCAAUACCCCAUACGUACUGAGGUAAAACGUGGGGGACCUUCGGGCCUCACGCCAUUCGAGCGUCCGACGUCUGAUUAGCUAGUAGGUGAGGUAAAGGCUCACCUAGGCGACGAUCAGUAGCGGGUAUGAGAGGAUGAUCCGCCACACUGGGACUGAGACACGGCCCAGACUCCUACGGGAGGCAGCAGUGGGGAAUUUUGAACAAUGGGCGAAAGCCUGAUCCAGCCAUGCCGCGUGUCUGAAGAAGGCCUUCGGGUUGUAAAGGACUUUUGUCAGGGAGGAAAUCCCUAGUGCUAAUAACACUGGGGAAUGACAGUACCUGAAGAAUAAGCACCGGCUAACUACGUGCCAGCCGCCGCAGUAA